rnacentral:tRNA from 1 species
GCCGACGUAGCUCAGGGGUAGAGCAAUGCUUUCGUAAAGCAUGGGUCGGGGGUUCGAAUCCCUUCGUCGGCUCCG